rnacentral:rRNA from 1 species
GAUGAACGCUGGCGGCGUGCCUAAUACAUGCAAGUCGAGCGAAUGGAUUAAGAGCUUGCUCUUAUGAAGUUAGCGGCGGACGGGUGAGUAACACGUGAGUAACCUGCCCAUAAGACUGGGAUAACUCCGGGAAACCGGGGCUAAUACCGGAUAACAUUUUGAACCGCAUGGUUCGAAAUUGAAAGGCGGCUUCGGCUGUCACUUAUGGACGGACCCGCGUCGCAUUAGCUAGUUGGUGAGGUAACGGCUCACCAAGGCAACGAUGCGUAGCCGACCUGAGAGGGUGAUCGGCCACACUGGGACUGAGACACGGCCCAGACUCCUACGGGAGGCAGCAGUAGGGAAUCUUCCGCAAUGGACGAAAGUCUGACGGAGCAACGCCGCGUGAGUGAUGAAGGCUUUCGGGUCGUAAAACUCUGUUGUUAGGGAAGAACAAGUGCUAGUUGAAUAAGCUGGCACCUUGACGGUACCUAACUAGAAAGCCACGGCUAACUACGUGCCAGCAGCCGCCGUAA